AGUGAACGCUGGCGGUAGGCCUAACACAUGCAAGUCGAACGGCAGCACAGUAAGAGCUUGCUCUUACGGGUGGCGAGUGGCGGACGGGUGAGGAAUACAUCGGAAUCUACUUUUUCGUGGGGGAUAACGUAGGGAAACUUACGCUAAUACCGCAUACGGCCUACGGGUGAAAGCAGGGGAUCUUCGGACCUUGCGCGAUUGAAUGAGCCGAUGUCGGAUUAGCUAGUUGGCGGGGUAAAGGCCCACCAAGGCGACGAUCCGUAGCUGGUCUGAGAGGAUGAUCAGCCACACUGGAACUGAGACACGGUCCAGACUCCUACGGGAGGCAGCAGUGGGGAAUAUUGGACAAUGGGCGCAAGCCUGAUCCAGCCAUACCGCGUGGGUGAAGAAGGCCUUCGGGUUGUAAAGCCCUUUUGUUGGGAAAGAAAAGCAGCAGGUUAAUACCCCGCUGUUCUGACGGUACCCAAAGAAUAAGCACCGGCUAACUUCGUA
rnacentral:rRNA from 1 species